AGUGGAUGGGGAGCAACCUAGUUGUGCGUGUGUAAAGGUAGUGCCAAGAAAAGCGGUGAUCAUGAUGAAAAUCAAUUCCCGGUACCCGAAACCGACACAGGUGGGCAAGUAGAGAGUACUAAGGGGCGCGAGGUAACUCUCUCCAAGGAACUCGGCAAAAUGACCCCGUAACUUAGGGAGAAGGGGUGCCACCGAGAGGUGGUCGCAGUGAAGAGGCCCAGGCGACUGUUUAGCAAAAACAUAGGUCUCUGCAAACUCGAAAGAGGAGGUAUAGGGGCUGACGCCUGCCCAGUGCCGGAAGGUUAAAGAAGUUGGUCAGUCUUAGGAUGAAGCUAGCGACUGAAGCCCCGGUGAACGGCGGCCGUAACUAUAACGGUCCUAAGGUAGCGAAAUUCCUUGUCGGGUAAGUUCCGACCCGCACGAAAGGCGUAACGAUCUGGGCGCUGUCUCGGAGAGAGGCUCGGCGAAAUAGGAUUGUCUGUGAAGAUACGGACUACCUGCAUUUGGACAGAAAGACCCUAUGAAGCUUUACUAUAGCUUGGAAUUGUGUUCGGGCUUCCUGUGCGCAGGAUAGGUGGGAGGCGUAGAAGGUAUUCUUGUGGGGAUACUGGAGCCAACGGUGAGAUACCACUCUCAGGAGGCUAGAAUUCUAACUUAAUUAAGGACAGUUUCAGGUGGGUAGUUUGACUGGGGCGGUCGCCUCCAAAAAGGUAACGGAGGCGUACAAAGGUUCCCUCAGACUGGUUGGAAAUCAGUCGAAGAGUGCAAAGGCAGAAGGGAGCUUGACUGCGAGAAGUACAGUUCGAGCAGGGUGGAAACACGGUCUUAGUGAUCCGACGGUGCUGUGUGGAAGGGCCGUCGCUCAACGGAUAAAAGUUACUCUAGGAUAACAGGCUGAUCUCCCCCAAGAGUUCACAUCGACGGGGAGGUUUGGCACCUCGAUGUCGGCUCAUCGCAACCUGGGGCGGAAGUACGUCCCAAGGGUUGGGCUGUUCGCCCAUUAAAGCGGUACGUGAGCUGGGUUCAGAACGUCGUGAGACAGUUCGGUCCAUAUCCGAUGUAGGCGUGAGAAUAUUGAGAGGAGCCUUCCUUAGUACGAGAGGACCGGGAAGGACGCACCGCUGGUGUACCUGUUAUGAUGCCAAUUGUAAACGCAGGGUAGCCAAGUGCGGAGAGGAUAACCGCUGAAAGCAUCUAAGUGGGAAGCCCACCUCAAGAUGAGUAUUCUGGUGUAAGGUCACGGGAAGACGACCCGUAAAUAGGCACGAGGUGGAAGUGCAGAGAUGUAUGAAGCCGAAGUGUACUAAUAGACCGUCGGCUUGACCG
rnacentral:rRNA from 1 species